rnacentral:rRNA from 1 species
CCUACGGGGGGCAGCAGUGGGGAAUAUUGCACAAUGGGGGAAACCCUGAUGCAGCGACGCCGCGUGGAGGAAGAAGGUCUUCGGAUUGUAAACUCCUGUUGUUGAGGAAGAUAAUGACGGUACUCAACAAGGAAGUGACGGCUAACUACGUGCCAGCAGCCGCGGUAAAACGUAGGUCACAAGCGUUGUCCGGAAUUACUGGGUGUAAAGGGAGCGCAGGCGGGAAGGCAAGUUGGAAGUGAAAUCCAUGGGCUCAACCCAUGAACUGCUUUCAAAACUGUUUUUCUUGAGUAGUGCAGAGGUAGGCGGAAUUCCCGGUGUAGCGGUGGAAUGCGUAGAUAUCGGGAGGAACACCAGUGGCGAAGGCGGCCUACUGGGCACCAACUGACGCUGAGGCUCGAAAGUGUGGGUAGCAAACAGGAUUAGAUACCCGUGUAGUC